UAUGCAAUGAGUGAUCACAUAUUAGAUUGAGCUAUUUAGUGAUGGAUAAGGUUGGUUGGUUAACAUAUUAGAGUAGAAUCGGCUAGUUAUUGUCUAAUUAGUCUAGGUUUAUGGGAUCAUUGGAAUGAUUAUAUGAUGGUAGGUAGGUUCUUGGACUUAUGCAACUUAGCUUUAGAAAUAUAGAAUUAUGAUCGGGUUGAAGCAAGAAUUAGGUAUGAUUAGGUAUUGGGUUGAA
rnacentral:lncRNA from 1 species